rnacentral:rRNA from 1 species
AACGAACGCUGGCGGCAUGCCUAACACAUGCAAGUCGAACGAGACCUUCGGGUCUAGUGGCGCACGGGUGCGUAACGCGUGGGAACCCGCCCUUAGGUUCGGAAUAACUCCCCGACAGGGGUGCUAAUACCGGAUAAUGUCUUCGGACCAAAGAUUUAUCGCCUUUGGAUGGGCCCGCGUUGGAUUAGCUAGUUGGUAGGGUAAAAGCCUACCAAGGCGACGAUCCAUAGCUGGUCUGAGAGGAUGAUCAGCCACACUGGGACUGAGACACGGCCCAGACUCCUACGGGAGGCAGCAGUGGGGAAUAUUGGACAAGGGGCGAAAGCCUGAUCCAGCAAUGCCGCGUGAGUGAUGAAGGCCUUAGGGUUGUAAAGCUCUUUUACCCGGGAUGAUAAUGACAGUACCGGGAGAAUAAGCUCCGGCUAACUCCGUG